ACGUUACAGCAAAAAGUACUACAUUACUGUAACUCCAUUACUUUUGUAACGCGUUACACCCAACUCUGUAGAUUACUGUAGAGGGAAAAUCAUCGGAAGUACAACGCUUAAUAAGGCUCUACAUGGCAACUACAUGGUAACAACAUUGCACAGAGGAAGUCAAAGUAUGGGCCCAUUAGAACCAAAAUCUGGUAUAACGUUACGCCAGCCGAUAACUCUGAUUAUUAACUUGUACAAAUAAAGUAACCCCUGCUACAUUUUAAGAACUAAGCCUAACCCUUUCCUGUCACAGGAGACAAGCACAUAUUUCAACCACUGAUCCCACACAUGGGUGUUCAUUUGGCUAACAACUUUGCUAGUUCAGCUCGACAUUAGCUUAACUUGCUAACAUAUAAUCCUGUCCCACUGAAGAACCAAACAAAGAAUUUACCAAACUUGAGGCAUAGACCACCAAAGUCCAACACUCCAGGCCUGGAUAGACCCGUGUACUCGUUUAGAUACCGGAACCUGAAGGAUAUAAACAUGGUACAAGCCCAGAGUGUCGCAGGGCGGUCGUUCUUCAACCGUAGAGCCUCGGAUUCCCAGAAGCCAUUGCGAAGUCAAGGACGCGGAGAAGCGUUGCUUAGUGACGGCGCGCUGAUUGAAGGCACCUGGCUGAGCAGUUAAAGGCCGGAGCCAGAGUCUUGUCCGGUCUCUCUUUUGGCUGAAGGACUCUGGGGAGAGCAGCCUCGUUUAUGCUUAGGUUCCCUUUUGUUUUGGUUCGGCAUGCAACACCCUGCAUCAUACCAUGUUCACACAUCCACAUCUACGCUACUGAUCUUACUGACCAACACACCUCAUGAUGGUAG